rnacentral:lncRNA from 7 species
AACCUCCCUUCCUUGAAGCGCUGGAGCAGGAGCUGGGAUGAAGUGCUCUGUACCUUCACUCCUGUAAUUACCAGCUCCAGCUAAGCUGUCUGCAGGCCAAGUUCAAAGAAUAAUGAUCACAGUAAAAAGAAAAGAGAAUCCCUAUGGCCAUGUUGAGAUCCUGAGCUGGAAAGCACCAUGCGAGCACAAAGAACUACUGCAUCUCUUUUGAAUCUCUAAUAGAUUAAUUGGCCGCUGCUGACCAGCAUGCAACAGGAUCCUGGGAGGGGGCUUUGUCACGGCUGUUCCCCACGCACAGGGACCCGGCAUCACACCCAUCACCCCCUCCCAUCUGACUGCCUGAUGGCGCCAGGGGGCGAGCAGAGACAGCUGUGCCACCACGGGGACAACGUUGUGCCACCGCUGCACGGGAUGGCAGCCUGGGUGCCCCGUGCCCAUCACAUUCCUUUUCUUUUCAAGAAAUAAUGGCAUUGCAGCCGCACAGGCGACACCACCGGUGUCACCAGAGAAGCUUUCCUUCCCCGUAUAAUGAAUGCGGCCAUAAGUACUUCGCAACCAUAUGGUAAUUAUGUUUAAUAAAAGACAUUUCCUGU